GGGAUGGAGGGAGUACAUAUUAGAGCAUUAUUGAUAAUAAGCCCAAAUGGUAAAACAAUAAUCUUUCUUUUAAAAGGUUUUUAUUUUUAUUUUUUUUUACAAGAGCAAAUGUAUUCAUAAAAUCAGAGUUUACAACAUACAGGAUAAGAAAUUAAACUUAAAAUAUGGCUUUUAACACUAAAGCCGUUACAACAACUUUUGAGACUAAAGACGAAAAUAUACUUGAAUUGGCCGGAUAAGUCGCAGAUUAGGGACUCCUUACAAACCAAGGAGAAAAAACAUACUACAUUCGCAACGGAGGGGAUCGAAACUGUUUGACCAUGGCUAGCACAUCCUUACCUGGCAGGAUCAACUCAUCACCAAGUAAGGUCAUCAAACGGGUCACUUGAACUAGUGACCUUCCAAUCAAUAGCUUUCCUUGUUGGCAAGAAAGCUUUGACAAUGUUGAGGCUCGAGAAACCCCAAAACAAAGUUUGGGCGCCUGCUUCAGAUGAUAAGAAUUAUGAGUAAUGACCAAAAAAAUCAUUACAUCCGAGGAAAGAGAAACCAAACUCAUACCACUCCAACAACGUACACACUUCACCUUAGCCAAGACCAACUUCUUGUUCAAACUCCCAACAACCGCACCUGUAACCUUUCUUACCACAAUAAACACCCCACUGUCCUUAACAAAGGGGCUUAACUCCCACUGCACAAAACCAUCCGAAAUACUAUAGCCAAAACAACUGUAUAGCCCGGAAAACAACCAAAGGGGGCUAAAACAUACUGUAACAAUAACUAAGGCAAGUAAACUCUGAUAAAUACUAAGAACAAACAUACUUAAGAUAGGGAACAAACCAGAGGAGAGCACCGUCCAACCCGACAACCCGAAACCACUUACACUAGGAACCUCGAAACCCUAGCCCUAACUUCACCGUUUCCGUUACUAACUACUCUUGACGGCGGCGUUAGACCUAGCCCUCCAGUGCAAGGACCCACGAAACCCUAACCCUAACUUUACCGUUUCCAUCACGGUCAAAACUACCUAUGACCUUUAUGACGGCGGCGUUAGGCCUAGUCCUUAGGCCUUGUUUCACCGGCGGAGAGACCCUUUGAACGAACACAAACCUUCCACACAAAGGUGGGCAACGACGACGGAGGUGACAAUCUAAACACUCCCCUCAGAACCUUCAAAACUUAGAAAAGGCUCUCACAAACAUUUCCAAAGGAUUGAAAUCCCCAAGAAGAAAGAGGAUAACGGAGUGAGGAAACCUCCAAAUCCAAGAAGGGGAAAAUAAAAUAAAGGGGAAGAGGAAUAGAAACCAAUAGAAGAAGAAGACAGAGGAGGGGAAAAGAUGACGCGGAGGCUGCGGCGGCCGGAGCUCCGGCGGCUUUCUUAGUUGGAGCCACCUCAGAGCAGAACGAGGAGUUUAGGAAACGAAAAACAGAGUACCCUCGCUCGCCGGCGCCUGGCAGAUUAAAAGCAGGGGAAGGGAGGAAACUCGUCGGAGAAACGGCUGCGGCGCUGGAUCUCCGGUGAGCACCUAGGUUUCCGGCAGGUUUUUCUUUUGGGAGGAGAGAGAACAGAGACUUUUAAAAGGUUAUUAUUGCUUAUAAAACUCUCAACCCCCAACAAAACCCUAAAACUCUUAGCCUCCUUUAACCUUUCAUUCUUACGCUUAAUCCUCAACUCCAACACUCUUUUACACUACUUUCUUUCUCCCUCUUUAAUAGAUUAUUCAAUAAUUUUGUGCAGCAUAAUUCAAGAAUUGCAAAGACAAGUUGUAAUUUAUGGCUGAAGACGAUCUUUGCUCGAAGGAGGAAGAACCCCUUAACGUUAUCAAACUGCUGGCUUCAUAUGCUGAACAACUGAAGAUAUUUAAUCUUUGCCUAGAGCAUAUUGAGAUGGGAAAUAUCAUCGAGCUAGGCGCCUUACUCUUUGUUUGUUGAGGUAAGCUGUUUGUUCCGUCUCCUGAUCUAGAGAAUACCCCAAUCGUGCAGUUUAUAAUGAGGGAGUUGGCACCACAAUCAGAGCUUUACAUGUAUGAGGAGAAUUUUGUUAAUGCAUUCAAUGUCAUUAGAAUUUUUAGGCUUCAGGUACAACUUCUUAGUAUACACCACCUCUGUUCUUCAUUAAUUUUUUUUUUGGUUAUAUAAAUACAACACUUUGACCAUUUAUAUCUGUAAUUGUAUAUUACAUUUUAUUUUGCUUUUCUCCCUGAAGAGAAUGUUGAAGCAUGAGGCGCAACGUGACAUUACCUAUACGGGACCUUGGGAUGUGAGUAGUGACAUAACAGACCGGUAAAGAGAGAUUCUGAUUAUUAUUGCUGUUGAGUUGAUGUUCUUUGAUAUAUUCCUUGCUACUAUUUGGUUGCCCUAAAUAGUUUGGUUGUUUAAUAACCUAGCUUAAUUUAAUUUGAUUAGCCAGCAAUCUGACUUAAUUAGUAAGUAACUUGUGCACUUUAUUUGUGAAUAUGAUGCUCCAAUGUGGAUUGAUCAAGUUUGCUUCUCAAGCUCACCUCUGAGUCUCAAGGUGCAGAAGGGGUUUAAAUUUUGGCUACAAAAUGUUCCUCCAAAACAUCCAUCUCCUAGUCAUCUAGCUACCAAACUUGACAAGUUAGUGGCAUAUCCGAUAUCUAAAACCGCACUGAUGAAGUCAUCAUCGCGUAAUGUUUGCACAUUAGCAAGAGUUCAUGCGCCUCUACUUUGGACUGUCAAGAGGAUUAUCAAGUAGGUGUGGGAAGGCCUUUCACAGGAAUCUGAUUCGGCUCGACUCGAAUUUGGGUGAGGCUCAGCUCAAGUUAGUUUGUUAAGCUUUAACCUGUGUACUUGCUUGAACUUGAUUCCAAUACACUUUGCUUGGCUCGAGCUCAUUGAGUUAAAUAUUGAAGCUUUGCUCGAGCUUUAUUCCAAUACACUUUGCUUUGCUUGACCUUGAUUCCAA